UCAUGUAAUUAUUCCUACAAGGAUACUUCACUAGAUCCCAUUAGAACUCCACAUUUAAGCAUGCUUGGGCUAGGGAGUACUAGGAUGGGAGACCUCCCAGUAAGUCCUAGUGUUUUACAUGAU
rnacentral:rRNA from 1 species